UUUUACUUUUAUAGAUGUCAUCAAUGAGGGCAUACCUAUUAAGUAGAUGAGAAUACACAGAGUUUUGUUACAAUAGUCUCACUCAUUUUUUGGAACUUCUUUUGAGCUGUUUGUCAAAAACAUGAUAUAUUUUGAAAAAUUAUUUUUAAUGAUCUAGAAUCUGGCAGCACAAUUUUGUUUUUUCAGUUUUUCGAAAGCAUGACUUGGAAAGUACCUGAUAUGCACACAAAUUUGUUACUCGGGCGUUAAAGUCAUUCACUUUCCCAAUCCUCCACCCGUGUUUUGAAUUCACCUGGUGUCUUAUGGGAUUUUACACCCUGGAGCACUGCACCAUCUUAAGAAGCAGCAGAAGGAGGAGAAAUAUACGGAAUUAAACAAAGGCAUCAACUUCCUAAGAAUGUGCUAUUGGAGUUGGCUCAAGCCUACGAGGUUGUCAGACCUGCAUCGCUAUCUGAAGGCUCUCUUUCUACUACAGCUGUCCUGUCCUUUCACCACACAUGUCUCCAGAUAUUGCCAAAUAUCCACUGGGAGGCAGAUUUCCC
rnacentral:lncRNA from 1 species